CGUUCUGUAAGCCUGCGAAGGUGGCCUGUGAGGGUUGCUGGAGGUAUCAGAAGUGCGAAUGCUGACAUAAGUAACGAUAAAGCGGGUGAAAAGCCCGCUCGCCGGAAGACCAAGGGUUCCUGUCCAACGUUAAUCGGGGCAGGGUGAGUCGACCCCUAAGGCGAGGCCGAAAGGCGUAGUCGAUGGGAAACGGGUUAAUAUUCCCGUACUUGGUGUUACUGCGAAGGGGGGACGGAGAAGGCUAUGUUGGCCGGGCGACGGUUGUCCCGGUUUAAGCGUGUAGGUGUGUGUUCCAGGUAAAUCCGGUUCACUUUAACACUGAGGCGUGAUGACGAGGCACUACGGUGCUGAAGCAACAAAUGCCCUGCUUCCAGGAAAAGCCUCUAAGCAUCAGGUAACAUCAAAUCGUACCCCAAACCGACACAGGUGGUCAGGUAGAGAAUACCAAGGCGCUUGAGAGAACUCGGGUGAAGGAACUAGGCAAAAUGGUGCCGUAACUUCGGGAGAAGGCACGCUGACACGUAGGUGAAGUGAUUUACUCACGGAGCUGAAGUCAGUCGAAGAUACCAGCUGGCUGCAACUGUUUAUUAAAAACACAGCACUGUGCAAACACGAAAGUGGACGUAUACGGUGUGACGCCUGCCCGGUGCCGGAAGGUUAAUUGAUGGGGUCAGCGCAAGCGAAGCUCCUGAUCGAAGCCCCGGUAAACGGCGGCCGUAACUAUAACGGUCCUAAGGUAGCGAAAUUCCUUGUCGGGUAAGUUCCGACCUGCACGAAUGGCGUAAUGAUGGCCAGGCUGUCUCCACCCGAGACUCAGUGAAAUUGAACUCGCUGUGAAGAUGCAGUGUACCCGCGGCAAGACGGAAAGACCCCGUGAACCUUUACUAUAGCUUGACACUGAACAUUGAGCCUUGAUGUGUAGGAUAGGUGGGAGGCUUUGAAGUGUGGACGCCAGUCUGCAUGGAGCCGACCUUGAAAUACCACCCUUUAAUGUUUGAUGUUCUAACGUGGACCCGUUACCCGGGUUGCGGACAGUGUCUGGUGGGUAGUUUGACUGGGGCGGUCUCCUCCUAAAGAGUAACGGAGGAGCACGAAGGUUGGCUAAUCCUGGUCGGACAUCAGGAGGUUAGUGCAAUGGCAUAAGCCAGCUUGACUGCGAGCGUGACGGCGCGAGCAGGUGCGAAAGCAGGUCAUAGUGAUCCGGUGGUUCUGAAUGGAAGGGCCAUCGCUCAACGGAUAAAAGGUACUCCGGGGAUAACAGGCUGAUACCGCCCAAGAGUUCAUAUCGACGGCGGUGUUUGGCACCUCGAUGUCGGCUCAUCACAUCCUGGGGCUGAAGUAGGUCCCAAGGGUAUGGCUGUUCGCCAUUUAAAGUGGUACGCGAGCUGGGUUUAGAACGUCGUGAGACAGUUCGGUCCCUAUCUGCCGUGGGCGCUGGAGAACUGAGGGGGGCUGCUCCUAGUACGAGAGGACCGGAGUGGACGCAUCACUGGUGUUCGGGUUGUCAUGCCAAUGGCACUGCCCGGUAGCUAAAUGCGGAAGAGAUAAGUGCUGAAAGCAUCUAAGCACGAAACUUGCCCCGAGAUGAGUUCUCCCUGAGACUUAGAGUCUCCUGAAGGAACGUUGAAGACGACGACGUUGAUAGGCCGGGUGUGUAAGCGCAGCGAUGCGUUGAGCUAACCGGUACUAAUGAACCGUGAGGCUUAACCUUACAACGCCG
rnacentral:rRNA from 1 species